UUAGAACAGCACGUGCGGCUUUGCGCUGAACGGGUCGCGCAGCACCCGCAGGUCGGGACGCUCGGCGAUGGUGUAGCCCGCGCGGAAGUCGCCGAAGGCAACCGAGAAGCUGUCGGCGGCCGGGUCCGGCAUGUCCUCGGCGAUCAGCACCGGAUAGCCCAUCAGCCGGGCGGGUUCACCGGCGGCCAGCCCGUCGGACCACAGGAAGCGGCCGUCGGCGUCCUUCAGCUUGCGCACCUGGCCCGCGGUCUUGGAGUUCAUCACGAAGGUCGCAUUGGCGCGGUACUGGGCGCCAAGCGCGUACACCAGGUCGAUGAUCGCGUCGCCGUUGCCGACCUCGCCAUCGACGCCGGUGGCCUUGUAGCCGAUGUUGCCCCAGGUCCAGUUGUCGUUUUCCUCGACGUUGUAGUUGAGGAAGCCCGUGGGCUUGUCGACGCCGUCGCCAUUGAUGAACGCAUCCGCCUCGGACCGGGCGAAUUUUUCGGCAAUGCGGCCUGCCAGCCAGCCCUCGAUGUCAAAGGCGCUGUCAUCGAGCAGCCGCUGCGACGCCUUGGGCAGCGCGCUCAGCUCAUGCAGCGGGAUCGAGAUGCGGUCGAUGCUGCCAGUGGAGGUUUCCGCCGACGGGCCGGUUUCAUUGGCCCAGCCGGCGCCCAUUUCGCUGUGGUCGAUCAGCACGUCAUAGGACGUUGCCUCCACAUGCACUACAGAGGCCACGGCGCGGAUCGAGGCGGAGGCGUUCAGCACCGCCUUGACGGUGUCGGAGGUCUGCGGAUCGACCAGAUAGCC
rnacentral:rRNA from 1 species